CCAAAAGAGAAAUAAAAAAAGAGGAAAAAAUAAGCAUAUUAUAUAUGGUCAAAGCAUCCUAGCCUGUCUAGUGAAAAUACCUCUACUGUUUGCAUGAGAAGAAGAAACCUCCUGGCUGGCAGCUGCCUUCAGGACAGUGCUGUAGCCAAGUAGAUGGUGAUGACCACAUAUGUUGUCUAUUUUGGAUCACAGCAUAACCUGGGAGAGAAGACACACUGAAUUCUGGUUACUGACAAAAACCAUCUCUGCAUCUCAAACUGCUGUUGAAAAACUGAGGACAAUCCCCUUCUUAAAGCUGUUGUUGAGAUUAAAGCAUGCUAGUGUGCUCAGGCA